rnacentral:lncRNA from 1 species
AUAGGAGAUUUUAAAUGAAUACAAAAAAAUGCACUUUUUUUUUUUUUUUCGUUUUUUAAAGAAGAAGAGGGAGAAAAAAAAAACGUUAUUAAAAUACGACGAGGAUGCCAUUUUGAAGUAGCUAAAAAAAAACUUGUAAAGGGAAAAAAGUAGCCUCCGGGCUCGGAGUUUUUUGAUUAGCUAAGACGUCUCUCAGUUUACAGAGCUGGCAGAAUGUAAUUUCUUUUUUUUCUCUCUCUCUCUCUCUCUCUCUCGCUAGCUUCCUGGGCUUCUCUCUCCCUCUGUCUACCAACUCGCACGGCUUAGCACUAAUAGGCAAGACGGUGGGAAGAGAGUAGAGUCGAGUCUUAUUGAUUUGCCUGCACCAACAGACUAUCCAGAUGGAAGGCUCUGGCUGCCGUGAUUAAUUUUCCCCAGAGCGGUAUUGCUAAACACUACUUAAGUGUGCUUCGUUGGAUAGUAAUAAACUACCUUGAGCGAGUAAGGCGCUUUGUUGUCCUUCGCCUACGUGUCUCUUCUAUAAUGAAGGGAUACUUAACGUAAUCCAAACGGUCACUUCCUACUGAUAACUCGACGCUCGAUGGCGACAAAAUUCCUCAACCACUUCAGCACGGUGCACAAUUUCCUUUGUCUAGAGUCGCUUACCUACUUUAAAAUGCGCCCCCGUCUUUUAUUACACCGCACAUUCCUAUCGAACGGGAACGGUGGCUUACAGCGCCCCCGUAUCGUUCUGGAGGCUUUUCCCCUAAAAUUCACCAAAAUUUUUAACGUUUCUCUCUCUGUCUCUACUUUCCCCGCAUUUAAUUGCUGCUGCAGCUAGGUAACAACUGCGUGUAGCAUUUCCGCCCGAUUAACCGCUUCCGAAACUCUCAAAAAAAAUUAUUUUCUAUCCUACAAGUGUCUCUCCCCCUAACUAUUAAAGAAAAGUCGCGAUUUUUUUUUACUACUAUAUAUAGUUUUUUUUUUUUAUCUUCUUAACCCGUCCUAUUCCGAUUUUGAUUGUACAAGGUGGAAGCAACCAUGCAAGGGGAAAAUUCCUCAGGCAUUAAAGGUACUGUUUAGUCAAGCGUGCUUUACUCUUACGGAGAAUUCGUUCCCGAAAAUAAUUCAGUUUCUUUUUUUUUUUUUAUCGUGUAAGGAGUGUGUGUGAGCGCUGCACUGUCGAUCGCAUAUAUAAGACGCAGUUUAAGCCAGAGUAUAAAAGUGGAAAGAGGUGACUUAAGGAUAGAAAGCACAAUUCAGAUGUUGAUUAUCGGAUAGGGGAACAAGAGGGGAUUUUAAAAUUCUGUUUGGUCUGACUAACGAAUUAGACAUUUUAUUUCUUAUUUCCACAAGAAGAAAAAGUUGCAAACUUGAUUGUCAUCGAUUUUUUUUUAAUUCAAUUUCCGUAGUACUACUACUACUACUACUGCUGCUACUAACUACGAUUUCCUACUAACCUUAAAAAGUCGUCUCUUGACAUCUUAACCGGCAUGGCGCAACCACGGAUUAAUUAUUAAAAAAAAAAAAAAAAAACAAAAGACGCCAUUUUUUCGAAUUUGGCUCCGAUAUUAAAC